UUGACCUCGGAUCAGGUAGGAGUACCCGCUGAACUUAAGCAUAUCA
rnacentral:rRNA from 1 species